AGUGAACGUUGGCGGCGUGGAUUAGGCAUGCAAGUCGAGCGAGAACCGUAGCAAUACGGGGACAGCGGCGAAAGGGACAGUAAUGUGUAGGUACCUACCCCGAGGUCUGGGAUAGCUGCGGGAAACUGCAGGUAAUACCGGAUAAUGUCUUCGGACCAAAGGUGUGAUUCCACCUUGGGAGGGGCCUGCAUCCUAUUAGCUAGUUGGCGGGGUAAUGGCCCACCAAGGCAACGAUGGGUAGCGGGUGUGAGAGCACGACCCGCGUCAUUGGGACUGAGACACUGCCCAGACACCUACGGGUGGCUGCAGUCGAGGAUCUUCGGCAAUGGGCGAAAGCCUGACCGAGCGACGCCGCGUGUGGGAUGAAGGCCUUCGGGUUGUAAACCGCUGUCGUAGAGGAGGAAAUGCAGGGGGGUUCUCCCUUCUGUUUGACCUAUUCUAGGAGGAAGUACGGGCUAAGUUCGUGCCAGCCGCCGCUGUAA
rnacentral:rRNA from 1 species